rnacentral:rRNA from 1 species
UGGGGAAUAUUGCACAAUGGGCGAAAGCCUGAUGCAGCGACGCCGCGUGAGGGAUGACGGCCUUCGGGUUGUAAACCUCUUUCAGCAGGGAAGAAGCGAAAGUGACGGUACCUGCAGAAGAAGCGCCGGCUAACUACGUGCCAGCAGCCGCGGUAAUACGUAGGGCGCAAGCGUUGUCCGGAAUUAUUGGGCGUAAAGAGCUCGUAGGCGGUUAGUCGCGUCUGCUGUGAAAACUCGAGGCUCAACCUCGGGCUUGCAGUGGGUACGGGCUGACUAGAGUGCGGUAGGGGUGACUGGAAUUCCUGGUGUAGCGGUGGAAUGCGCAGAUAUCAGGAGGAACACCGAUGGCGAAGGCAGGUCACUGGGCCGCAACUGACGCUGAGGAGCGAAAGCAUGGGGAGCGAACAGGAUUAGAUACCCCUGGUAGUCCAUGCCGUAAACGUUGGGCACUAGGUGUGGGGUCCAUUCCACGGAUUCCGUGCCGCAGCAAACGCAUUAAGUGCCCCGCCUGGGGAGUACGGCCGCAAGGCUAAAACUUAAAUGAAUUGAC